rnacentral:ncRNA from 1 species
UUGAGCCGUGUGCGAUGAAAGCCGCAUGCACGGUUCUUAGGGGGCCCCGGACCAGAUAAUGGUACGGGGCUACCCGAC